UACGGGGGGGGUAAGCGUUGUUCGGAAUUACUGGGCGUAAAGGGCUCGUAGGCGGCCAACUAAGUCAGACGUGAAAUCCCUCAGCUUAACUGGGGAACUGCGUCUGAUACUGGAUGGCUUGGAUUCGGGAGAGGAAUGCGGAAUUCCAGGUGUAGCGGUGAAAUGCGUAGAUAUCUGGAGGAACACCGGUGGCGAAGGCGGCAUCCUGGACCAAUAUUGACGCUGAGGAGCGAAAGCCAGGGAGGCAAACGGG
rnacentral:rRNA from 1 species